rnacentral:rRNA from 1 species
UCUGACGGAGCAACGCCGCGUGAGUGAUGAAGGUUUUCGGAUCGUAAAGCUCUGUUGUUAGGGAAGAACAAGUGCCGUUCAAAUAGGGCGGCACCUUGACGGUACCUAACCAGAAAGCCACGGCUAACUACGUGCCAGCAGCCGCGGUAAUACGUAGGUGGCAAGCGUUGUCCGGAAUUAUUGGGCGUAAAGGGCUCGCAGGCGGUUUCUUAAGUCUGAUGUGAAAGCCCCCGGCUCAACCGGGGAGGGUCAUUGGAAACUGGGGAACUUGAGUGCAGAAGAGGAGAGUGGAAUUCCACGUGUAGCGGUGAAAUGCGUAGAGAUGUGGAGGAACACCAGUGGCGAAGGCGACUCUCUGGUCUGUAACUGACGCUGAGGAGCGAAAGCGUGGGGAGCGAACAGGAUUAGAUACCCUGGUAGUCCACGCCGUAAACGAUGAGUGCUAAGUGUUAGGGGGUUUCCGCCCCUUAGUGCUGCAGCUAACGCAUUAAGCACUCCGCCUGGGGAGUACGGUCGCAAGACUGAAACUCAAAG